rnacentral:tRNA from 1 species
GCCCGGGUGGCGAAAUUGGUAGACGCAGCGGACUUAAAAUCCGCAGAUUGGCAACAGUCGUGCCGGUUCGAGUCCGGCCCCGGGCACCA